AAAGGUAGCUUGCUACCUUACCUAGCGGCGGACGGGUGAGUAAUGCUUAGGAAUCUGCCUAUUAGUGGGGGACAACAUUCCGAAAGGAAUGCUAAUACCGCAUACGCCCUACGGGGGAAAGCAGGGGAUCUUCGGACCUUGCGCUAAUAGAUGAGCCUAAGUCAGAUUAGCUAGUUGGUGGGGUAAAGGCCUACCAAGGCGACGAUCUGUAGCGGGUCUGAGAGGAUGAUCCGCCACACUGGGACUGAGACACGGCCCAGACUCCUACGGGAGGCAGCAGUGGGGAAUAUUGGACAAUGGGCGAAAGCCUGAUCCAGCCAUGCCGCGUGUGUGAAGAAGGCCUUUUGGUUGUAAAGCACUUUAAGCGAGGAGGAGGCUACUUGGAUUAAUACUCUAGGAUAGUGGACGUUACUCGCAGAAUAAGCACCGGCUAACUCUGUGCCAGCAGCCGCGGUAAUACAGAGGGUGCGAGCGUUAAUCGGAUUUACUGGGCGUAAAGCGUGCGUAGGCGGCUUUUUAAGUCGGAUGUGAAAUCCCUGAGCUUAACUUAGGAAUUGCAUUCGAUACUGGGAAGCUAGAGUAUGGGAGAGGAUGGUAGAAUUCCANGUGUAGCGGUGAAAUGCGUACAGAUCUGGAGGAAUACCGAUGGCGAAGGCAGCCAUCUGGCCUAAUACUGACGCUGAGGUACGAAAGCAUGGGGAGCAACAGGAUAAAAUACCCUGGGUAGUCCAUGCCCGUAAACGAUGUCUACUAACCGUUGGGGGCCUUUGAGGCUUUAGU
rnacentral:rRNA from 1 species